GACGAACGCUGGCGGCGUGCUUAACACAUGCAAGUCGAACGGAAAGGCCUCUUUCGGGGGGUUCUCGAGUGGCGAACGGGUGAGUAACACGUGAGUAACCUGCCCUUGACUUUGGGAUAACUUCAGGAAACUGGGGCUAAUACCGGAUAGGAGCUCCUGCUGCAUGGUGGGGGUUGGAAAGUUUCGGCGGUUGGGGAUGGACUCGCGGCUUAUCAGCUUGUUGGUGGGGUAGUGGCUUACCAAGGCUUUGACGGGUAGCCGGCCUGAGAGGGUGACCGGCCACAUUGGGACUGAGAUACGGCCCAGACUCCUACGGGAGGCAGCAGUGGGGAAUAUUGCACAAUGGGUGGAAGCCUGAUGCAGCAACGCCGUGUGCGGGAUGACGGCCUUCGGGUUGUAAACCGCUUUCGCUCAUGACGAAGCUUUGUGUGACGGUAGUGGGUAAAGAAGCACCGGCUAACUACGUG
rnacentral:rRNA from 1 species